rnacentral:rRNA from 1 species
UGGGGAAUAUUGGACAAUGGGCGCAAGCCUGAUCCAGCCAUGCCGCGUGAGUGAUGAAGGCCCUAGGGUUGUAAAGCUCUUUCACCGGUGAAGAUAAUGACGGUAACCGGAGAAGAAGCCCCGGCUAACUUCGUGCCAGCAGCCGCGGUAAUACGAAGGGGGCUAGCGUUGUUCGGAUUUACUGGGCGUAAAGCGCACGUAGGCGGACUUUUAAGUCAGGGGUGAAAUCCCGGGGCUCAACCCCGGAACUGCCUUUGAUACUGGAAGUCUUGAGUAUGGUAGAGGUGAGUGGAAUUCCGAGUGUAGAGGUGAAAUUCGUAGAUAUUCGGAGGAACACCAGUGGCGAAGGCGGCUCACUGGACCAUUACUGACGCUGAGGUGCGAAAGCGUGGGGAGCAAAACAGGAUUAGAUACCCUGGUAGUCCACGCCGUAAACGAUGAAUGUUAGCCGUUGGGGAGUUUACUCUUCGGUGGCGCAGCUAACGCAUUAAACAUUCCGCCUGGGGAGUACGGUCGCAAGAUUAAAAACUUAAAUGAAUUGACGGGG